UACAGAGGUCUCGAGCGUUGUUCGGAUUCAUUGGGCGUAAAGGGUGCGUAGGUGGCGGGGUAAGUCGGAUGUGAAAUCCCGGAGCUCAACUCCGGAGCUGCAUUCGAUACUGCCUUGCUUGAGUACUGGAGAGGAGAUCGGAAUUUACGGUGUAGCAGUGAAAUGCGUAGAUAUCGUAAGGAAGACCAGUGGCGAAGGCGGAUCUCUGGACAGUUACUGACACUGAGGCACGAAGGCCAGGGGAGCAAACGGG
rnacentral:rRNA from 1 species